CCUACGGGAGGCAGCAGUGAGGAAUAUUGGUCAAUGGUCGGGAGACUGAACCAGCCAAGCCGCGUGAGGGAUGAAGGUACAGAGUAUCGUAAACCUCUUUUGUCAGGGAACAAAGGCGGGGACGUGUCCCCGGAUGAGUGUACCUGAAGAAGAAGCAUCGGCUAACUCCGUGCCAGCAGCCGCGGUAAUACGGAGGAUGCGAGCGUUAUCCGGGUUUAGUGGGUAUAAAGGGUGCGCAGGCGGUCUGUUAAGUCAGCGGUCAAAGCACGGGGCUCAACCCCGGCCCGCCGUUGAAACUGGCAGUCUCGAGUUGGAGAGAAGUAUGCGGAAUGCGCGGUGUAGCGGUGAAAUGCAUAGAUAUCGCGCAGAACUCCGAUUGCGAAGGCAGCAUGCCGGCUCCACACUGACGCUGAGGCACGAAAGCGUGGGUAUCGAACAGGAUUAGAUACCCGAGUAGUC
rnacentral:rRNA from 1 species